UUAUAACCCUAAAGAAGGUCUUCUUAGCUUCGCCUCCGCCUCUCUGGAAGCCAUUCAUUAUCCCGAACCCUUCUUCCUCGUCUGCAAAUCCAUUUCCUGUUUGCUUAUUUAGCUAAGAAUCCCAUCCCUCUCCCUUUUACUGAUCAGAAAAAGAAAACAAAAAACUUUUCUCCAUCUUAUUCUCUAUGUCGAUUUCGCGCACCGACUCCUUGACCGAUUUAGACGAUGAAGACGGGGAGCGUAUUGACUUGUCUCACAAAACUUGGGAUUUGGUGGCAUCGGUAAUUAAACAGAAAAUAAAAUGGCGAACUUGGCAAAGCUUGAUUUUGCUACCCUGGACAUUAUUGGGAAAAUUACCUUACAUGGGUACUGGAUACCAAGAUCCAUCUAGAAGCAGAGAAUCUUGGAGAUACCAUUAGGGAAGAGAACAGCUCAUCCUCUCAAGAUCGGGCGAAGGCCAUGAUUUUUAUUCGUCGCCAUCUUGAUGAGGGACUAAAGAGCAAAUACUUAACGGUUGAAGAUCCGUGAGCUCUCUGGAAUGCAUUGAGAAACAGAUACAAUCACCAGACAAUGGUGAUUCUUCUAAGAGCUCGCUAUGAGUAGACUCACCUAAAGAUCCAGGAUUUCAAGUCAAUGGCUGAGUGCAAUUCUGAUUUGUUCAGAAUUACCUCUCAGAUGAAGAUUUGUGAGGAUACCAUUAAUGAGGAAGAUAUGCUGGAAAAGACUUUCAGCACAUUUCAUGCAUCUAACGUGCUCUUGCAGCAGCAGUAUAGAGCGCGAGGCUUCACUGAAUACAACCAGCUGAUAUAUGUGCUCUUGGUAGCUGAACAAAAUAAUGAGCUACUGAUGAAAAAUCAUCAGUCCUGACCUAAGAAGUAAAUGUUGUUACCCUCAAAGUGAACGGCACAUCCUCUGGUGGCGAUAAUCAUAAACGAGGACGUGGCCACAAGUAAAGUCGAUGGAACAGGAAAUGCAAGAACUAUGGUGAUUAGUCUCACAACCAGGUUCCAAAGCAAAAUUCAGGCUCGAGUUUUAAAAAUGGAAAUCGCCACAAAGGCAAAGCUUGUAUGAAUAAUGCUUUUAGAAACUCUGAUGGAACCUGCCAUAGGUGUGGUGGCGAUGGGCAUUGGGCGCGUACUUGUCGUAUCCCAAAACAUCUGAUGGAUCUAUAUCAAGCCUUCCUUAAGGAGAAGGGUGUUGAGAAUAAUUUCCUCGACUAGGCUAGUCCAAUGGAUAUACCUGAUUCAGUGUGCGACUUAUUAGGAUAGUUGAACACAACCCACCUAGAUGUCUCAGACUUCAUUGUGGAAAAGAGGAAUAAAGUGUAUUAGUCCGACUAAAUCAUUUAUGUUUGUUGUACUUUUAUUAUUAUGAGCUUGUAGUUGAAAACCAGCAUUUCAAUUAAAUAAAAGUGGCAUUUAAAUUUUCUGUUAUAAA